rnacentral:rRNA from 10 species
UUUAGGUCUCCUGAAGGAACGUUGAAGACGACGACGUUGAUAGGCCGGGUGUGUAAGCGCAGCGAUGCGUUGAGCUAACCGGUACUAAUGAACCGUGAGGCUUAACCUUAC